rnacentral:sRNA from 1 species
GAAAGAACCAUUAAAAUUACUUCUAAAGUUUGAUAGUAAUUUUAAUAAACGAUUCACAAGACAUUUUAAAGGAUUUGUAAAGCCUUGCAAACGAUUUAAAAAGGGUUUACAUGGUUUGCAAUCGGUUUUAAAGGAUAAGAAAGUGGUAAAAAUGAUUUAUAAGGGAUUUUAAAAGCUUUUAAAAGGGGUUUACUUGAUUAACAAUCGUUUAAGAAGCAUAAGUUAGUGGGAGAGAAUGAUUUACAAGGGAAUUUAAAAGUUUGUAAAAGUGUUUAACUUGAUUUACAAUCGUUAAAAGUAUAUGCAAGUGGCAUAACGAAAGAUUUACAAGGUAUUUUAAAAGGAUUUUAAAAGACAUUUUAAACAGGAUUUUACAAGAGAUUUUAAAAGGUAAAUUAUUGGAAUAACCCUUAAAAUUACUUGUAAAAGUUUGAUAGUAAUUUUAAUAAACGAGAGUAAUAACACGACAUAAUGAAGGAAAAAUUAAAAACCCCAACAAAGUUCAAUUCUCUUGAGAUAAAGGUAUAUCUAAAUUGCAGCAACACAAAUUGAUUUGUUGUGACCCGACUGACCACACCUAUUGCAUUUGUGUAAUUUUGGUUUUGGAUGAGACCUUCCAUGCUCCCAAACAGAAGGUAUCCUCUUUUUCUUUCAUUUGCCACUAGGGACACAAGUAGAAGUUGCAAGCUGUCUAUCGUUGCAAGCUGUCUAUCGUUUUUGAGAAUUUGUGCAUGAAAGGUGCAAGUUGUCUAUCGUUUUUAAUAUAAAGAGGAUGAGAUUGUAUGGUUGUAGACGUGGAGACUAGCUUGUAACUAAGCUUCAAAGAAUUGGUUGAACUAUCUAUUUGAAAAUCCUCUACAAGAAUAUCAACCAAUGCGUGAUAGGUAAUGUGCUCAUCAAUGAGCACUAAAGAAGCUCCCAUUUCAAUGUCUAAUUCAAAUUCCCAAGUCAUAUUGUUUGUCAACUUUCACAAGCCACAAACAGAAUACAAUUCUAGCAUUAUAACCUUAUAAGAUAAAUAACAACAAAAUCAACACCCAUAAACUCUGACACUAAAGAGAGAAGCAUGGUUUACAAAUCAUUUUAAAGCGUAAGUAAGUGGCAUAUAAUGAUUUACAAGGAAUUUUAAAAGCUUUGAAAAGUGGUUAACAUGGUUUAUAAAUCGUUUCAAAGCGUAAGUAAGUGGCAUAGAAUGAUUUACAAGGAAUUUUAAAAGCUUUAAAAAGUGGUUAACAUGGUUUACAAAUCGUUUUAAAGCGUAAAUAAGUGGCAUAAAAUGAUUUACAAGGAAUUUUUAAAGCUUUGAAAAGUGGUUAACAUAGUGUACAAUCGUUUUAAAGCGUAAGUAAGUGGCAUGGAUCUAUCACGAAAGCAUAUGU